AAAAAAAAGAACUAAAUUCAACAAACACCUACUAAGAUUUUAGGGAGCAGGUAGCAACUGAGCAUGCAUACAGCAAGCAGUUCACGUAGUAAAACUUACACUGAGCUAUUAGGCUCAGCUAUUAGGAGUCAGUAGGCAGGUGGGUAAGAAGUGACUGGAAGGGGGCAUAAGGAUUGGGGAAAUAGAAUUUUCCUAUCUUGAAAACCCAUGACUAGAUUUAUUGCAUACUCUUAGCCUUGACAUUAGAGGGAAGAAUCAGAACAAGUGAGUACAGAGAAACUCAAUAAUAACUGUUAACAAGGCGUUUAAAAGAUGUACUGGAAGCUGGGUGUGGUGAAAAAAAAAUGUCCUGGAACAAUUCAAAACAAGGUAAAACAGAUGUCAACAACUGAGAGAGUUGAUGGAAAUGUUACAAGGAUAGCUUAUGCCAGGUACUUUCAUUCUUAAUACUCUGUAAAGAAAACAGAGAAUCAGCCAUGCAUUUAAGAUUAAAAGAAAGCUUAAAUACAAAACAGCACUGAAAGAAAUGAAAAAAGCUUGUUCAUAGACUAGAAAUUUAAUCAUUAAGAAGAUAAUACUCCCCAAACUGAUCUAUAGAUUCAAUGCAAUCCCCCACA
rnacentral:lncRNA from 1 species